rnacentral:rRNA from 1 species
AUUGAACACUGGCGGCAGGCCUAACACAUGCAAGUCGAACGAGUGGCGGACGGGUGAGUAAUGUCUGGGAAACUGCCCGAUGGAGGGGGAUAACUACUGGAAACGGUAGCUAAUACCGCAUCCCAUCGGAUGUGCCCAGAUGGGAUUAGCUGGUAGGUGGGGUAACGGCUCACCUAGGCGACGAUCCCUAGCUGGUCUGAGAGGAUGACCAGCAACCCUUGAACUGGGACACGUUCCAGACUCCUACGGGAGGCAGAAGUAGGGAAUAUUGCAAAAUGGGAGCAAGCCUGAUGCAGCCAUGCCGCGUGUAUGAAAAAGGCCUUCGGGUUGUAAAGUACUUUCAGCGAGGAGGCGUUACUCGCAGAAGACGCACCGGCUAACUCCGUGCCAGCCGCCGCGGUAAUAC